AUGAACGCUAGCGGCAGGCCUAACACAUGCACGUCGAGGGGGAAGUUACUUUCGGGUGACUGAGACCGGCGUACGGGUGCGUAACGCGUAUACAAUCUGCCUUUCACUGGGGGAUAGCCCGAAGAAAUUUGGAUUAAUACCCCAUAGUAUAUAGGGACGGCAUCGUUUUUAUAUUAAAGCUUAGGUGGUGAAAGAUGAGUAUGCGUUCUAUUAGCUAGUUGGAGAGGUAACGGCUCCCCAAGGCGAUGAUAGAUAGGGGUUCUGAGAGGGAUGUCCCCCACACUGGUACUGAGAUACGGACCAGACUCCUACGGGAGGCAGCAGUGAGGAAUAUUGGACAAUGGUCGGAAGACUGAUCCAGCCAUGCCGCGUGCAGGAUGAAGGUCUUAUGGAUUGUAAACUGCUUUUGUAAGGGAAGAAUAAGGGCUACGCGUAGUUUGAUGACGGUACCUUACGAAUAAGCAUCGGCUAACUCCGUG
rnacentral:rRNA from 1 species